CACGUAGGGGGCGAGCGUUGUCCGGAUUUAUUGGGCGUAAAGAGCUCGUAGGCGGCUCAGUAAGUCGGGUGUGAAACCUCCAGGCUCAACCUGGAGACGCCACCUGAUACUGCUGUGGCUUGAGUCCGGUAGGGGAGCGUGGAAUUCCUGGUGUAGCGGUGAAAUGCGCAGAUAUCAGGAGGAACACCGAUGGCGAAGGCAGCUUGCUGGGACGGUACUGACGCUGAGACGCGAAAGCGUGGGGAGCAAACAGG
rnacentral:rRNA from 1 species